AGGAUUCCCCUAGUAACUGCGAGUGAAGCGGGAAAAGCUCAAAUUUAAAAUCUGGCAGUCUUUGGCUGUCCGAGUUGUAAUCUAGAGAAGUAAUGCCCGUGCUGGACCGUGUAUAAGUCUCCUGGGAUGGAGCGUCAUAGAGGGUGAGAAUCCCGUCUUUGACACGGACUACCAGUGCAUUGUGGUAUGCUCUCAAAGAGUCGAGUUGUUUGGGAAUGCAGCUCAAAAUGGGUGGUAAAUUCCAUCUAAAGCUAAAUAUUGGCGAGAGACCGAUAGCGAACAAGUACCGUGAGGGAAAGAUGAAAAGAACUUUGGAAAGAGAGUUAAACAGUACGUGAAAUUGCUGAAAGGGAAACGCUUGAAGUCAGUCGCGUUGGCCAGGGAUCAGCCUUGCUUUUGCAUGGUGUACUUUCUGGUUGACGGGUCAGCAUCAAUUUUGACCGCUGGAAAAGGGCCUGGGGAAUGUGGCAGCUUCGGCUGUGUUAUAGCCCCUGGUCGCAUACAGCGGUUGGGAUUGAGGAACUCAGCACGCCGCAAGGCCGGGUUUCGACCACGUUCGUGCUUAGGAUGCUGGCAUAAUGGCUUUAAGCGACCCGUCUUGAAACACGGACCAAGGAGUCUAACAUGCCUGCGAGUAUUUGGGUGGAAAACCCGAGUGCACAAUGAAAGUGAAAGUUGAGAUCCCUGUCGUGGGGAGCAUCGACGCCCGGACCAGAACUUUUGGGACGGAUCCGCGGUGGAGCAUGUAUGUUGGGACCCGAAAGAUGGUGAACUAUGCCUGAAUAGGGUGAAGCCAGAGGAAACUCUGGUGGAGGCUCGUAGCGAUUCUGACGUGCAAAUCGAUCGUCAAAUUUGGGUAUAGGGGCGAAA
rnacentral:rRNA from 1 species